rnacentral:rRNA from 1 species
UUGACCUCAAAUCAGGUAGGACUACCCGCUGAACUUAAGCAUAUCAAUAAGCGGAGGAAAAGAAACUAACAAGGAUUCCCCUAGUAACUGCGAGUGAAGCGGGAAAAGCUCAAAUUUAAAAUCUGGUAGUCUUUUGGCUGCCCGAGUUGUAAUCUAGAGAAGCAUUAUCCGCGCUGGACCGUGUACAAGUGUCCUGGAAUGGACCAUCAUAGAGGGUGAGAAUCCCGUCUUUGACACGGACUCCCAGGGCUUUGUGAUGUGCUCUCAAAGAGUCGAGUUGUUUGGGAAUGCAGCUCUAAAUGGGUGGUAAAUUCCAUCUAAAGCUAAAUAUUGGCGAGAGACCGAUAGCGAACAAGUACCGUGAGGGAAAGAUGAAAAGAACUUUGGAAAGAGAGUUAAACAGUACGUGAAAUUGCUGAAAGGGAAACGCUUGAAGUCAGUCGCGUUGGCUGGGGAUCAACCUUGCUUUUUUGCUUGGCUUACUUCCCAGUUGAUGGGUCAGCAUCAGUUUUGACCGGUGGAUAAAGGCUAGGGGAAUGUGGCACCCUCGGGUGUG